GGUGGGGGAGAGACAAGGAGCCAUCCAUGCCAACCCAUUUCGGCCACCCCGCUCUCCCUGCGACACUUACACAGCCAAGGGGAUCUGCUGCUCCGAGCCGGCCACGGCCACCAGGCUGAGGCAAACACCUGCCCAGAAGAGGGCGAGGAGCCCCGCGGAAGCCCUCCCGAGCCCGGGCAUGGUGUCGGUCCUCGGCGUGCCUUCCCAGCGACGCUGCUCUCGGCUUGCGCGGCGGCGGAGAGGGAAAAGCGAGCGGGCGGGCGGGCGAGCGCGGAGCCGGGGCGCGGCGGGGCGCGGAGUCACGGCGCCAUCCUCUUCUCCUCAGCUCCGCGAGCGGGGCGGCUGGCUGGCUGGCUUCGCUCCAGAUCCUGAGGCGGGUCGGGCUCUCCCGGCUGGUCCCCGAAAAGUGGGGUGUCCUCGGCAACCCGCCCCACGGGCUUGCCACGCUGCUGGGCAACCACAACUCCGCUCCGCAGUCGGCGGCGCGCCGGAGUUACUUCCGCGAGUGACCUCGUGGCUGCUCCCGCCGGCGCCUUGAAGUGCAGAGCCCGGCAGGUUUGGGCGGGAAGGAGCUCGCUCGCUGUCGUCGAGGGUCAGGUGGGGAGGAGCUCGGCGGCCGAAGCGCGGCUCACUUUGCCCAGGGAAACGCAAAGAGGUCCCUCCCUCCGUCCCCUUUUGGGCGACGUGUGUACGCGCGCCUCCCUCUCCCUCUCGCCCGCCUCCCUCCCUCUCUCUGCGUUCAUUCAGCGCUGCGCAGCUCCAGCGCAGCCUUCGUUCCAAAUCAAGUCCGCGCUGCUAAUAUACCCUGGUGGAGAGCGGCGCGGCGUCGGCCGCCUUUUAAGGAGAUGGUGCGCGCCGUCAGGCAGGCAUCGCAGGGGGAGGGAGGAGCAGCAGGAGGAGGAAGAAGAAGAAGAAGAAGCAGAAGAGCGAGCCAGGGCCGAAAGUGUCUCCAAGGCGGCAGAAGCGGAGCAAGUCCGCAGGAAAAAGUGCGGGACGAUCCGCGUUGGGAUCAGCGGCAGCAGGGAGCCAGAGGGAAAGGCGCCGCUGCCAGAUCCGCAGCCCCUCCCGCCGCCGCCGCCGGAGGAAGAGACCUGGGACUAA
ensembl:lncRNA